GUCCACGCCGUAAACGAUGCUAACUGGAUUUUCGGUUAUAAUGACUGGAGAGUCUGAGGGAAACCAUUAAGUUAGCCACCUGGGGAGUACGCCGGCAACGGUGAAACUCAAAGGAAUUGACGGGGUCCGCACAAGCGGUGGAGCAUGUGGUUUAAUUCGAUGAUACGCGAGGAACCUUACCUGGGCUCGAAUGGUAUAGGAAUACGGUUGAGAGGUCGUAGUCCCGCAAGGGACCUGUAUCAAGGUGCUGCAUGGCUGUCGU
rnacentral:rRNA from 1 species